rnacentral:tRNA from 1 species
GACGAGGUGGCCGAGUGGUCUAAGGCGAUGGGCUGCUAUCUCAUUGGGCUCUGCCCGCGUGGGUUCGAAUCCCCUCCUCGUCG